UGUGGUAGAUGAUCCAAAUUAAACCAAGGACUGUAUAACGUCUGCUCAAAAAAAAUGAGUUAGGUGAUAGCAAAUGAGGUCAUCCAAUUAUCUACCAGAUAUUGUAUUUGGUGACAAGCGUUGUUAGAUAGAACGGUUGGCGAGCAUGGAUGGUGGCUUCAUGUUUUCAGAUGAUUUUUUCUUUUUAUUCAACAAUUUCAUGGUGUCACAAUCACAUGGAUCAGCUACUUGUCUGCUAGAUACCGUCGCACCGUGUUGCUUGGUCAACAAUGCCCCUAUACAUAACCCCUUCGUAAAUGUUAUUUCCUAUGGAUUAGACUCGGGUGCAAAAAAAG
rnacentral:lncRNA from 1 species